GGGUCGGUAGCUCAAUGGUAGAGCAGUGGCCUUUUAAGCCAUUGGUUGAGGGUUCGAGUCCCUCCCGACUCACCA
rnacentral:tRNA from 1 species